rnacentral:rRNA from 1 species
UACGGAGGGUGCGAGCGUUGUCCGGAAUCACUGGGCGUAAAGGGCGCGUAGGUGGCGCGGGAAGUCAACGGUGAAAGCUCAGGGCUCAACCCUGAGUCGGCCGUCGAUACUCCCGGGCUCGAGCACUGUAGAGGCAGGUGGAAUUCCGGGUGUAGCGGUGGAAUGCGUAGAUAUCCGGAGGAACACCGAAGGCGAAGGCAGUGUCCUGGGGAGCACCUGACGCUCAGAUGCGAAAGCCAGGGGAGCGAACGGG